CGCGGCCUAUCAGCUUGUUGGUGGGUAAUGGCCUACCAAGGCGACGACGGGUAGCCGGCCUGAGAGGGCGACCGGCCACACUGGGACUGAGACACGGCCCAGACUCCUACGGGAGGCAGCAGUGGGGAAUAUUGCACAAUGGGGGAAACCCUGAUGCAGCGACGCAGCGUGCGGGAUGACGGCCUUCGGGUUGUAAACCGCUUUCAGCAGGGAAGAAGCGAAAGUGACGGUACCUGCAGAAGAAGUACCGGCUAACUACGUGCCAGCAGCCGCGGUAAUACGUAGGGUACGAGCGUUGUCCGGAAUUAUUGGGCGUAAAGAGCUCGUAGGUGGUUGGUCACGUCUGCUGUGGAAACGCAACGCUUAACGUUGCGCGUGCAGUGGGUACGGGCUGACUAGAGUGCAGUAGGGGAGUCUGGAAUUCCUGGUGUAGCGGUGAAAUGCGCAGAUAUCAGGAGGAACACCGGUGGCGAAGGCGGGACUCUGGGCUGUAACUGACACUGAGGAGCGAAAGCAUGGGGAGCGAACAGGAUUAGAUACCCUGGUAGUCCAUGCCGUAAACGUUGGGCACUAGGUGUGGGGGACAUUCCACGUUCUCCGCGCCGUAGCUAACGCAUUAAGUGCCCCGCCUGGGGAGUACGG
rnacentral:rRNA from 1 species